rnacentral:rRNA from 1 species
UACGUAGGGUGCGAGCGUUGUCCGGAAUUAUUGGGCGUAAAGGGCUCGUAGGCGGUUUGUCGCGUCGGGUGUGAAAACUCAGGGCUUAACCCUGAGCCUGCUUCCGAUACGGGCAGACUAGAGGUAUGCAGGGGAGAACGGAAUUCCUGGUGUAGCGGUGAAAUGCGCAGAUAUCAGGAGGAACACCGGUGGCGAAGGCGGUUCUCUGGGCAUUACCUGACGCUGAGGAGCGAAAGUGUGGGGAGCGAACAGG